GAUGAACGCUAGCGAUAGGCUUAACACAUGCAAGUCGAGGGGCAGCACAAGGUAGCUUGCUAUCUGGGUGGCGACCGGCGCACGGGUGCGUAACGCGUAUGCAACUUGCCCUAUACAGGAGGAUAACCCGUCGAAAGACGGACUAAUACUGCGUAUGCUCACAACUUGGCAUCCAGUGGUGAGGAAAGAAAUUCGGUAUAGGAUAGGCAUGCGUCCCAUUAGCUUGUUGGUGAGGUAACGGCUCACCAAGGCAACGAUGGGUAGGGGAACUGAGAGGUUUAUCCCCCACACUGGUACUGAGACACGGACCAGACUCCUACGGGAGGCAGCAGUGAGGAAUAUUGGUCAAGGGGCGCGAGCCUGAACCAGCCAAGUCGCGUGAAGGAUGACUGUCUUAUGGAUUGUAAACUUCUUUUAUACGGGAAUAACAAGAGUCACGGGUGACUCCCUGCAUGUACCGUAUGAAUAAGCAUCGGCUAACUCCGUG
rnacentral:rRNA from 1 species